rnacentral:rRNA from 1 species
GGGGGGGGGGGGGGGGGGGCCUGGGGCAGGCAGGUCGGGCGGGCGGGCGGGAAGCGGGCGUUUCUGCUGUUGGCGGCGGGCGGGUGGGUAAGACGUGGAUAACCUACCUAUAAGACUGGGGUAACUUCGGGAAACCGGAGCUAAUACCUGAUCAUAUUUUGAACCGCAUGGUUCAAAAGUGAAAGACGGUCUUGCUGUCACUUCUAGAUGGAUCCGCGCUGCAUUAGCUAGUUGGUAAGGUAACGGCUUACCAAGGCAACGAUGCAUAGCCGACCUGAGAGGAUGAUCGGCCACACUGGAACUGAGACACGGUCCAGACUCCUACGGGAGGCAGCAGUAGGGAAUCUUCCGCAAUGGGCGCAAGCCUGACGGAGCAACGCCGCGUGAGUGAUGAAGGUCUUCGGAUCGUAAAACUCUGUUAUUGGGGAAGAACAUAUGUGUAAGUAACUGUGCACAUCUUGACGGUACCUAAUCAGAAAGCAACGGCUAACUACGUG